rnacentral:rRNA from 1 species
AUUGAACGCUGGCGGCAGGCCUAACACAUGCAAGUCGAACGAGUGGCGGACGGGUGAGUAAUGUCUGGGAAACUGCCUGAUGGAGGGGGAUAACUACUGGAAACGGUAGCUAAUACCGCAUACCAUCAGAUGUGCCCAGAUGGGAUUAGCUAGUUGGUGGGGUAAUGGCUCACCAAGGCGACGAUCCCUAGCUGGUCUGAGAGGAUGACCAGCCACACUGGAAGUGAGACACGGUCCAGACUUCUACGGGAGGUAGCAGUGUGGAAUAGUGCACAAUGGGGGAAAGCCUGAUGCAGCCAUGCCGCGUGUAUGAAGAAGGCUUUCGGGUUGUAAAGUACUUCCAGCGGGGAGCCGUUCGCCGCAGAACAAGCACCGGCUAACUCCGUGCCAGCAGCCGCGGUAAUUC